UACGGAGGGUGCAAGCGUUGCUCGGAAUUAUUGGGCGUAAAGGGUAGGUAGGUGGUCUCAUUUGUCUGGGGUGAAAUCCUUGAGCUUAACUCAAGAAGUGCCCCAGAAACGGUGAGACUAGAGUCCUGGAGAGGGUCGUGGAAUUCCCGGUGUAGCGGUGAAAUGCGUAGAGAUCGGGAGGAACACCAGAGGCGAAAGCGGCGACCUGGACAGGCACUGACACUCAACUACGAAAGCGUGGGGAGCAAACAGG
rnacentral:rRNA from 1 species